UCGUCAGUUCGCCCUGCGAACUGGCCAUCGACCUUCUAAGCCGAGGGGCGGGGGUUCGAGUCCCUCCUGUUGCACCA
rnacentral:tRNA from 1 species